AGUUGGUCCGAAGGUUGUGGGUUGUUAAGCUAUUUAGCAUUGUCUCCCACCCACAACCAUACCUGACUAGCUUUGCCUUUU
rnacentral:Y_RNA from 15 species